rnacentral:rRNA from 1 species
CAAUAGCGUAUAUUUAAGUUGUUGCAGUUAAAAAGCUCGUAGUUGGAUUUCGGGUGGGACCUGCCGGUCCGUCGUUGCGAUGUGCACUGGCCGGUCCCAUCUUGUUGUCGGGGACCAGCUCCUGGGCUUCACUGUCCGGGACUGGGAGCCGACGAAGUUACUUUGAGUAAAUUAGAGUGUUCAAAGCAAGCCUACGCUCUGGAUACAUUAGCAUGGAAUAACACGAUAGGACUCUGGCUUAUCUUGUUGGUCUGUGAGACCAGAGUAAUGAUUAAGAGGGACAGUCGGAGGCAUUCGUAUUUCAUUGUCAGAGGUGAAAUUCUUGGAUUUAUGAAAGACGAACUUCUGCGAANGNAUUUGUNAAGGAUGUUUNCAUUA